AUUGAACGCUGGCGGCAUGCUUUACACAUGCAAGUCGAACGGCAGCACGAAAGAGCUUGCUCUUUUGGUGGCGAGUGGCGAACGGGUGAGUAAUGCAUCGGAACGUACCGAGUAAUGGGGGAUAACUGUCCGAAAGGAUAGCUAAUUCCGCAUACGCUUUGAGAAGGAAAGUGGGGGCUCUUCGGACCUCACGUUAUUCGAGCGGCCGAUGUCUGAUUAGCUAGUUGGUGGGGUAAAGGCCUACCAAGGCGACGAUCAGUAGCGGGUCUGAGAGGAUGAUCCGCCACACUGGGACUGAGACACGGCCCAGACUCCUACGGGAGGCAGCAGUGGGGAAUUUUGGACAAUGGGCGCAAGCCUGAUCCAGCCAUGCCGCGUGUCUGAAGAAGGCCUUCGGGUUGUAAAGGACUUUUGUUAGGGAAGAAAAGGAUAGUGUUAAUACCAUUAUCUGCUGACGGUACCUAAAGAAUAAGCACCGGCUAACUACGUG
rnacentral:rRNA from 1 species